ACAAAAACAUGUCUCUUUGAAGCCUUUUCAUAAAGAGUCUGACCUGCCCAGUGAUAUUUCAAUAUUUAACGGCCGCGGUACUCUGACCGUGCAAAGGUAGCAUAAUCAUUUGCCCUAUAAUUGAAGGCUAGUAUGAAGGGUUUGACAAGGGCUUUCCUGUCUCUGUGAAAAUCAAUGGAACUUAUUUUUUAGAUGAAGAAAUCUAGAUGAAAUUAAUAGACAAGAAGACCCUAUCGAGCUUAAAAAUUAUUUAUGUCAUCUAGGGACUAUAACUAUAGAUCCCUUUCCAUAAAAAAUUUUGGUUGGGGCGACUGAGGAACAGACAAAGCUUCUUUUAAUUUAAACCACUAUUCUGAGAUCCGCGCCUUUAUCGCGAUUAAAAGAAUUAGUUACCGUAGGGAUAACAGCAUAAUCUUUUUUGAGAGCCCUUAUCGAAAAAAAGGUUUGUGACCUCGAUGUUGGACUAGAAUAUCCUGAAAGGUGCAGCCGCCUUCAAGGGUUGGUCUGUUCGACCAUUAAAAUUCUACAUGAGCUGAG
rnacentral:rRNA from 1 species